rnacentral:lncRNA from 1 species
AAGCAGGAUAAGCCUUCAGAUGAAGGUGGAGUUGGCAGGGUCCUCAUAGGUCCAUCACAGAUCUGACUGCUAAACUGCUACACUCUGAGAGAUACUGCAGCAUUGGGGCAUCCCAAGGGAGGGAGUGACGACACUGCAAUGAACCCCUUCUGAUGGUACCAGGGAAGUCUACAGUGCUCUACAGAGGCUCGUCACUACGUGUCCAUACCAGUUGUCAGCAGGCCCAGGCUGUAGUGAACCCCAGAGAAGGAGAGCCGAGUAAAUGAACACUCUGAUCCUGACUGAGAGGAGAGGGAGCAGACUGUGUCCAAGUCCAUGCGAAACCUCCUCUGUGCCCCCGGAAGACUGCAAACCAACAGCCUGGGGAAUGAAGAAGAGAUCUCUCGGGGAGGCUGCUACCCUCCCUGGGAAAGAAGAGCAGCUGGCCAAGGAAUCCAGAAGUGCAGGCACGAGGAGGCUCUGCAGCAUGCUGCCUCUUCCCUGGGGUGAGACACUGCUGCUGGGAUAUUCCUAAUGGAAGGCAUGAGAGAAGGUACUCAUUCCCUCACGUUUGGACAUCUACUCCAUAAAGGUCAAUGACAGUCAGACACUGGACAUCAUAUGGAUAGUCACAAGAUGGCAGGUAGCAUGAUGAAUCCUCCAAGAAGCCAUCUUGUGUGCAUCAGAAUGUUGAGAAGCAUUUGGUCCAAAUCCCCUCUUAAAGCUAUUACCCUGAACCUCUUUGUAACUCCAGCACCUGCUAGAGAGCCAAGGCCACAGCAGGGACCCAUACGAUGAAAUGUCA